GCUGGUGUAGCUCAGUUGGUAGAGCGACUGAUUUGUAAUCAGUUGGUCGUAGGUUCGAAUCCUAUCACCAGCUCC
rnacentral:tRNA from 1 species